rnacentral:rRNA from 1 species
AUUGAACGCUGGCGGAAUGCUUUACACAUGCAAGUCGAACGGCAGCACGGACUUCGGUCUGGUGGCGAGUGGCGAACGGGUGAGUAAUGUAUCGGAACGUGCCCAGUUGUGGGGGAUAACGUAGUGAAAAUUACGCUAAUACCGCAUACGAUCUAUGGAUGAAAGCGGGGGAUCGCAAGACCUCGCGCGAUUGGAGCGGCCGAUAUCAGAUUAGGUAGUUGGUGGGGUAAAGGCCCACCAAGCCAACGAUCUGUAGCUGGUCUGAGAGGACGACCAGCCACACUGGAACUGAGACACGGGCCAGACUCCUACGGGAGGCAGCAGUGGGGAAUUUUGGACAAUGGGCGAAAGCCUGAUCCAGCCAUUCCGCGUGCAGGAUGAAGGCCCUCGGGUUGUAAACUGCUUUUGUACAGAACGAAAAGGUUUCUACUAAUACUAGGAGCUCAUGACGGUACUGUAAGAAUAAGCACCGGCUAACUACGUGCCAGCCGCCGCGGUAA